GCCUGCCUGGUUCAGUUGGUAGAGCAUGUGACUCUCGAUCUUGGGGUCGUGGGUUUAAGUCCCACAGUGGGCG